CUUUGGUGCCUUCGGGAACUCUGAGACAGGUGCUGCAUGGCUGUCGUCAGCUCGUGUUGUGAAAUGUUGGGUUAAGUCCCGCAACGAGCGCAACCCUUAUCCUUUGUUGCCAGCGAUUCGGUCGGGAACUCAAAGGAGACUGCCAGUGAUAAACUGGAGGAAGGUGGGGAUGACGUCAAGUCAUCAUGGCCCUUACGAGUAGGGCUACACACGUGCUACAAUGGCAUAUACAAAGAG
rnacentral:rRNA from 1 species